CCAGCAGCCGCGGCAAUACGGGCCAGCGGCCGCAAAGCUCUGUACCACGGGAGGAAGGGCAGCGACCUAAUACGUGAUGGUUAUGACGGUACCGACAGAAUAAGCACCGGCUAACUCUGUGCCAGCAGCCGCGGUAAUACGCGCCAGCAGCCG
rnacentral:rRNA from 1 species